CCUGGAGCGUCUGACUCCCUGCUGUACUCAAAAUUACGCCCUCCAAAAGUGAGGCCUGAUUUUCCUCAGGGGUGAGCUUUCUUGCAGGAGGUGCCCCGUCCCAUGUGGCAGGCCCAGCCCCUCCCCUCCCAAUGGUGAGUACAAAUACCAGCCUUACCCCCUCCAAGCCCCCCCCAGACCUGUGGCAUCUCCUCGAGACCUCCCAGUCCCUGGUGAAGUGGGCACGAUCACCCACACCCCACAGGUGACUCUUAGGGGAAGUGACUCAUCCAAGGUCUCACUGCCUACAACCUGGGGGGCUGCCCACUUCAGGGGGAGUCUCUAUGUUGGCCUCAGGGGCAGGGGCACAGUAGCCUCUGGGACAGUGGAUGAUGAUCAGACAGGCUGGGGGGGUUUGUGCAAUGACCUGGGGCUGGGGUUGGGGCUGGGGAGGCCCGUGUCUUCCGGGCAUAAUAGUCAGGUUUCUGCCGCGGGAGUGCUGUGUAACCGUCCCAAGUGUCAGCGGCUUCCAAGAAAACCAUCCGCUUUUCUCUCCUGGGUCAGCAGGUCGGCUGCCGUGCUUCUGCUUCAGGUUGUGGGGUGGGGGCCCAGGGCGUGUUUGGAGGAGGGAGAGGCAGUGUGCAGGGCGUGAGCAGCUGGGCAUGGGCAUCCAGAACCCAACCGAGUCAACAGCUGCCACCCCCACGCGGCCUCCCCUCUCUGAGGAGUCUGGGUUUAAUUUUCUGGUCAGUGCCAAAAGGAGGAGGAAGAGGACGAGGAGGAGGAGAAGAAAGGAGCGAGCUGCAGCUCUCAUGCAGUCGGCUGGGACCUGUCACUCAGCACACAGCCCGCUGACGACUCAGGGCAGCCCCAGCUGUAAGCAGCCCAUGAUUUAUGAACACCGAGUGAACUCCUGCGGCAGAAACCAGCCUUGAGAUCAGAGCGGCAAUAGGGCCCUUUUUUUGGCAGGAGACAGGGCCUGCAUUUUUCUCAUUCAUGCCAAACUGCUUUGCACGGCAAUUAGCUCUGUCCUCAUUUAGUCUCCAGUCCCAGAGGGUAAUGAAAGUCAUAUAUCAUCUUCAGGACUGCUAAUUAUUGAGCUCGCUUACAG
rnacentral:lncRNA from 1 species